rnacentral:rRNA from 1 species
UACGGGAGGCAGCAGUGGGGAAUAUUGCACAAUGGGCGAAAGCCUGAUGCAGCUAUGACGCGUGUAUGAAGAAGGCCUUAGGGUUGUAAAGUACUUUCAUCGGGGAGGAAAAACAAAACUAAUAAUUUUAUUUCUUGACGUUACCCGAAAAAGAAGCACCGGCUAACUCCGUGCCAGCAGCCGCGGUAAUACGGAGGGUGCUAGCGUUAAUCAGAAUUACUGGGCGUAAAGAGCACGUAGGUGGUUUUUUUAAGUCAGAUGUGAAAUCCCUGGGCUUAACCUGGAACUGCAUUUUGAAACUGAAAUACUAGAGUAUCGUAGAGGGAGGUAGAAUUCUAGGUGUAGCGGUGAAAUGCGUAGAUAUCUGGAGGAAUACCUGUGGCGAAAGCGGCCUCCUAAACGAAUACUGACACUGAGGGUGCGAAAGCGUGGGGAGCAAAC